rnacentral:rRNA from 1 species
CCAAUAGCGUAUAUUAAAGUUGUUGCAGUUAAAAAGCUCGUAGUUGAAUUUCGGGGUUAGUAGGCUGGUCGUGCCACCGGUACGUACUGGUCUUACUGAUUCCUCCUUCCUGAUGAACUGUAAUGCCAUUAAUUUGGUGUUGCAGGGAAUCUGGACUGUUACUUUGAAAAAAUUAGAGUGUUUAAAGCAGGCUAACGCUUGAAUACAUUAGCAUGGAAUAAUGAAAUAGGACGUUCGAUCCUAUUUUGUUGGUUUCUAGGAUUGACGUAAUGAUUAAUAGGGAUAGUUGGGGGCAUUAGUAUUCAAUUGUCAGAGGUGAAAUUCUUGGAUUUAUUGAAGACUAACUACUGCGAAAGCAUUUGCCAAGGAUGUUUUCAUUAAUCAAGAACGAAAGUUAGGGGAUCGAAGACGAUCAGAUACCGUCGUAGUCUUAACCAUAAACUAUGCCGACUAGGGAUCGGAUGAUGUUAAUUUUUUAAUGACUCAUUCGGCGCCUUACG